rnacentral:rRNA from 1 species
CCUACAGGAGGCAGCAGUGAGGAAUAUUGGUCAAUGGACGAGAGUCUGAACCAGCCAAGUAGCGUGAAGGAUGACUGCCCUAUGGGUUGUAAACUUCUUUUAUAAAGGAAUAAAACGAGGUACGUGUGCCUUUUUGCAUGUACUUUAUGAAUAAGGAUCGGCUAACUCCGUGCCAGCAGCCGCGGUAAUACGGAGGAUCCGAGCGUUAUCCGGAUUUAUUGGGUUUAAAGGGAGCGUAGAUGGGUUGUUAAGUCAGUUGUGAAAGUUUGCGGCUCAACCGUAAAAUUGCAAUUGAUACUGGCAGGCUGGAGUACAGUUGAGGUAGGCGGAAUGCGUGGUGUAGCGGUGAAAUGCUUAGAUAUCACGAAGAACCCCGAUUGCGAAGGCAGCUUACUAAGCUGUGACUGACAUUGAUGCUCGAAAGUGUGGGUAUCAAACAGGAUUAGAUACCCUGGUAGUC